rnacentral:tRNA from 1 species
CGUUAUUAAUAUUUUCCGGAAUUAUAACGUUCGCACUGUUAGUUAAAUAUGAUGACGC